AUUGAACGCUGGCGGAAUGCUUUACACAUGCAAGUCGAACGGCAGCACGGACUUCGGUCUGGUGGCGAGUGGCGAACGGGUGAGUAAUGUAUCGGAACGUGCCCAGUCGUGGGGGAUAACGUAGUGAAAAUUACGCUAAUACCGCAUACGAUCUAUGGAUGAAAGCGGGGGAUCGCAAGACCUCGCGCGAUUGGAGCGGCCGAUAUCAGAUUAGGUCGUUGGUGGGGUAACGGCCCACCAAGCCAACGAUCUGUAGCUGGUCUGAGCGGACGGCCAGCCACAACAGAACUGAGACACGGUACAGACUCCAACGGGAGGCAGCAGGGGGGAAUUUUGGACGAUGGGCGAAAGCCUGAUCCAGCCAUUCCGCGGGCAGGAUUAAGGCCCUCGGGUUGUAAACUGCUUUUGUACAGAACGAAAAGGUUUCUACUAAUACUAGGAGCUCAUGACGGUACUGUAAGAAUAAGCACCGGCUAACUACGUGCCAGCCGCCGCCGUAA
rnacentral:rRNA from 1 species